UACGGGGGGAGCAAGCGUUGUUCGGAAUUACUGGGCGUAAAGGGCGCGUAGGCGGCCCGCUAAGUCAGACGUGAAAUCCCUCGCCUUAACCGGGGAACUGCGUCUGAUACUGGAUGGCUUGAGACCGGGAGAGGUGAGUGGAAUUCCCAGUGUAGCGGUGAAAUGCGUAGAUAUUGGGAGGAACACCAGUGGCGAAGGCGGCUCACUGGACCGGAACUGACGCUGAGGCGCGAAAGCGUGGGGAGCAAACAGG
rnacentral:rRNA from 1 species